rnacentral:rRNA from 1 species
CCCUUAGAUGUCCGGGGCCGCACGCGCGCUACACUGAAGGAAUCAGCGUGGCUUUCUCCCUGACCCGAAAGGGUUAGGAAACCCGUUGAAUCUCCUUCGUGAUAGGGAUUGGGGCUUGAAAUUGUUCCCCAUGAACGAGGAAUUCCCAGUAAGCGCGAGUCAUAAGCUCGCGUUGAUUACGUCCCUGCCCUUUGUACACACCGCCCGUCGCUACUACCGAUUGAACGGUUUAGUGAGGGCCUCGGAUUGGUCUCGGCCCGCUCUUUACCGGGCGGCGCCGUUGGUCGAGAAGACGCUCGAACUUGAUCGUUUAGAGGAAGUAAAAGUCGUAACA